rnacentral:rRNA from 1 species
UACGAAGGGGGCUAGCGUUGCUCGGAAUCACUGGGCGUAAAGCGCACGUAGGCGGACUCUUAAGUCAGGGGUGAAAUCCUGGAGCUCAACUCCAGAACUGCCUUUGAUACUGGGAGUCUUGAGUUCGGGAGAGGUGAGUGGAACUGCGAGUGUAGAGGUGAAAUUCGUAGAUAUUCGCAAGAACACCAGUGGCGAAGGCGGCCUGCUGGGCUGUUGCUGACGCUGAGGCGCGACAGCGUGGGGAGCAAACAGG